AGGGAACGCUGGCGGUAGGCCUAACACAUGCAAGUCGAACGGCAGCACAGUAAGAGCUUGCUCUUACGGGUGGCGAGUGGCGGACGGGUGAGGAAUACAUCGGAAUCUACUUUUUCGUGGGGGAUAACGUAGGGAAACUUACGCUAAUACCGCAUACGACCUACGGGUGAAAGCAGGGGAUCUUCGGACCUUGCGCGAUUGAAUGAGCCGAUGUCGGAUUAGCUAGUUGGCGGGGUAAAGGCCCACCAAGGCGACGAUCCGUAGCUGGUCUGAGAGGAUGAUCAGCCACACUGGAACUGAGACACGGUCCAGACUCCUACGGGAGGCAGCAGUGGGGAAUAUUGGACAAAGGGCGCAAGCCUGAUCCAGCCAUACCGCGUGGGUGAAGAAGGCCUUCGGGUUGUAAAGCCCUUUUGUUGGGAAAGAAAAGCAGCAGGUUAAUACCCCGCUGUUCUGACGGUACCCAAAGAAUAAGCACCGGCUAACUUCGUG
rnacentral:rRNA from 1 species